rnacentral:rRNA from 1 species
GAUCAAGCGAUCAAGGGCGCAUGGUGGAUGUCUUGGCGUUGGGAGGCGAUGAAGGACGUGGUAACCUGCGAUAAGCCUCGGGGAGGUGGUAACAACCGUUAUUACCCGGGGAUUUCCGAAUGGGGAAACCUGGCCGGUUAGAAUACCGGUCGCCCCCAGCUGAAUGCAUAGGCUGGAGGGAGCGAACGCAGAGAACUGAACCAUCUCAGUACCUGCAGGAAAAGAAAUCGAAGAGACUUCCUGAGUAGCGGCGAGCGAAAGGGAAUUAGCCCAAACCAUGUACGUGUAAGCAUGCAGGCGUUGCGUAUGUGGGGUCGCGGGAAACACAGUCAGGGGCUGCAAACCCUGUGCGGAGUUACAAAUCCGGCCCUAACCGAACAGACUGGAAAGUCUGGCCGUAGAAGGUGAAAGCCCUGUACGUGAAAGGGUGACGGACUCCGGUAUCUCUCCCAAGUACUGUCAGAUAGGAGGAACCUGGCAGGAAUUCAGGGAACCCACUCUCUAAGGCUAAGUAUUCCCAAG